CUCAAAGGAAUUGACGGGGCCCGCACAAGCGGUGGAGCAUGUGGUUAAUUCGAUGCAACGCGAAGAACCUUACCUACCCUUGACAUCCAGAGAAUCUGUGAGAGAUCGUAGAGUGCCUUCGGGAACUCUGAGACAGGUGCUGCAUGGCUGUCGUCAGCUCGUGUCGUGAGAUGUUGGGUUAAGUCCCGCAACGAGCGCAACCCUUGCCAUUAAUUGCCAUCAUUUAGUUGGGCACUUUAAUGGGACUGCCGGUGACAAACCGGAGGAAGGUGGGGAUGACGUCAAGUCCUCAUGGCCCUUAUGGCCAGGGCUUCACACGUAAUACAAUGGUCGGUACAGAGGGUUGCCAACCCGCGAGGGGGAGCCAAUCCCAGAAAGCCGAUCGUAGUCCGGAUUGCAGUCUGCAACUCGACUGCAUGAAGUCGGAAUCGCUAGUAAUCGCGGAUCAGCAUGUCGCGGUGAAUACGUUCCCGGGCCUUGUACACACCGCCCGUCACACCAUGGGAGUGGGUUCCACCAGAAGUAGGUAGUCUAACCGCAAGGAGGACGCUUACCACGGUGGGGUUCACGACUGGGGUGAAGUCGUAACAAGGUAACCGUA
rnacentral:rRNA from 1 species